rnacentral:rRNA from 1 species
UACACUCCUGCGGGAGGCAGCAGUGGGGAAUAUUGCACAAUGGGCGCAAGCCUGAUGCAGCCAUGCCGCGUGUAUGAAGAAGGCCUUCGGGUUGUAAAGUACUUUCAGCGGGGAGGAAGGCGAUAAGGUUAAUAACCUUGUUGAUUGACGUUACCCGCAGAAGAAGCACCGGCUAACUCCGUGCCAGCAGCCGCGGUAAUACGGAGGGUGCAAGCGUUAAUCGGAAUUACUGGGCGUAAAGCGCACGCAGGCGGUCUGUCAAGUCGGAUGUGAAAUCCCCGGGCUCAACCUGGGAACUGCAUUCGAAACUGGCAGGCUAGAGUCUUGUAGAGGGGGGUAGAAUUCCAGGUGUAGCGGUGAAAUGCGUAGAGAUCUGGAGGAAUACCGGUGGCGAAGGCGGCCCCCUGGACAAAGACUGACGCUCAGGUGCGAAAGCGUGGGGAGCAAACAGGAUUAGAUACCCGGGUAGUCCCA